AUUGAACGCUAGCGGCAUGCUUUACACAUGCAAGUCGAACGGUAACAGGCCGCAAGGUGCUGACGAGUGGCGAACGGGUGAGUAAUGCAUCGGAACGUGCCCAGUCGUGGGGGAUAACUACUCGAAAGAGUAGCUAAUACCGCAUACGAUCUAUGGAUGAAAGCGGGGGACCGUAAGGCCUCGCGCGAUUGGAGCGGCCGAUGUCAGAUUAGGUAGUUGGUGGGGUAAAGGCUCACCAAGCCAACGAUCUGUAGCUGGUCUGAGAGGGCGACCAGCCACACUGGGACUGAGACACGGCCCAGACUCCUACGGGAGGCAGCAGUGGGGAAUUUUGGACAAUGGGCGCAAGCCUGAUCCAGCAAUGCCGCGUGCAGGAAGAAGGCCUUCGGGUUGUAAACUGCUUUUGUACGGAACGAAACGGCUCUGGUUAAUACCCGGGGCUAAUGACGGUACCGUAAGAAUAAGCACCGGCUAACUACGUG
rnacentral:rRNA from 1 species